rnacentral:rRNA from 1 species
GCAGUGAUGUGGAGNGAAUCCCAAAAAUAACGUCCCAGUUCGGAUUGCAGUCUGCAACUCGAGUGCAUGAAGCUGGAAUCGCUAGUAAUCGCGAAUCAGAAUGUCGCGGUGAAUACGUUCCCGGGUCUUGUACACACCGCCCGUCACACCAUGGGAGCCGGUAAUACCCGAAGUCAGUAGUCUAACCGCAGGGGGGACNCUGCCGAAGGUAGGAUUGGCGACUGGGGUGAAGUCGUAACAAGGUAUC